rnacentral:rRNA from 1 species
UACGUAGGUGGCAAGCGUUGUCCGGAUUUACUGGGCGUAAAGAGCGCGCAGGCGGUCGUGCAAGUCGCGUGUGAAAGCCCCCGGCUCAACUGGGGAGGGUCACUCGAUACUGAUCGACUUGAAGGCAGGAGAGGGAAGCGGAAUUCCCGGUGUAGUGGUGAAAUGCGUAGAUAUCGGGAGGAACACCAGUGGCGAAGGCGGCUUCCUGGCCUGUUCUUGACGCUGAGGCGCGAAAGCUAGGGGAGCAAACGGGG